GUCGCUGUGGCGUAAUCGGUCCGGGCGUUCGGCUAUUAACCGAAAGGCUGGUGGUUCGAACCCACCCAGGGACU